rnacentral:misc_RNA from 1 species
UUUUUCUUUUUCUUUUUCUUUUAGUUAAGAUUUAUUGUAAGAUCUAUCCAUAGUCCCCAACCAACCACAACCCUCAACAUUUGAGAUAAGGCCCCAUGGGAAACCGACAUUUAAUAAUGAGAUUGAAACUUUGAUUCUUGUACACAGGUAGGACCAACUUCCUCUUAGGAUAAGAAAAGGUAGCCUUAUAAGCACUCUAAGGAGGUUAUAUCCUUGUGAAGUGGUUCGAGGUCUGAAACUCAGAAAUGUACCUUAUAAUGACUUUGCAAGAACUUUACAAUCAUUGAAAUGGAAAAUAGCUUACAGGCACUCAGUGCCAGAUUUCUUAAGGGUGAAUUACUCCCAAGGAAUAAGUCAUCUCCUUUAGGAAGGCUGCUGAUGGAGCAAUACAUUCUAGAGAAUAGUAUCCUAAAUAGUAAAUAGUGAUCAAUUAUUAUCAAAUAUUGUCACUUUCCCCAACACUUAUCACAAUUUCUUUGAACUUUGAUUUGGGCAUGGAGUUAGAUUUUGAAUCUGCAUCAUCUCCAGCAUACCAUCUUAUUUUUGUGAAAGCAAGAUGACUUUAGUGAGCACUCUAAAAACUACCAGUUAGGUUAUAUUGGCUUGAUUUCUCUGAUCCAGUCUAAUAAAAACCUUAAACUCCAUAUUUGAAAUUCUCUAAAUCAAGCACUUCUUAGCAAUCAAAUUGAAGAUUACCAUGACCAGAAAGCUCCCAUCAGCCACUCCAAAACAUUAGCAACAGCAAGCCAGAAUCUUUUCAUAUAAAUAAAUAGUUACUUCCCAUCGGGCUCAAAAUGGGAAGUAAAAAAUCACGGUAAAUCAGCAUGAAAACAAAGAGGCUGAUGAUCGCAAAAAAGAUAAUGGUUAAUACCCACAUUAAGGAGAUGCUCAAAAUCAGAGUCAACUUAAUACAAGUAACAGCCAUACCCAGUAAAAUUAUAAUAGAAAAGAAGACAUAAAAAUCAAUGCCCUCUGUUUGGUUUCAAAAGAGAGCGCUACAAAGAAACACAUUGUCCUAUAAGUUCCGGCAAAGCAAAUAGAUUUUGAGUUUCAUUUCAAAGGACAUUUGAAAGGAAAAGGAAAAGGAAAAGAAAAAGAGGAUAAUUAUGUGAGAGAAGUGUGAUAUAGUAAUGGUGUUUUCUUCUUUUUUUGCUUUCAUUUUUCUUCUUCUUUUGGCCUUUUCUUUUUAUUUAUUAUAUUUG